AUUGAACGCUGGCGGCAUGCCUUACACAUGCAAGUCGAACGGCAGCACGGGUGCUUGCACCUGGUGGCGAGUGGCGAACGGGUGAGUAAUAUAUCGGAACGUACCUUAUUGUGGGGGAUAACGUAGCGAAAGUUACGCUAAUACCGCAUACGCACUGAGGUGGAAAGCAGGGGAUCGUAAGGCCUUGCGCUAUACGAGCGGCCGAUGUCAGAUUAGCUAGUUGGUAGGGUAAAGGCCUACCAAGGCGACGAUCUGUAGCGGGUCUGAGAGGAUGAACCGCCACACUGGGACUGAGACAAGGCCCAGACUCCUACGGGAGGCAGCAGUGGGGAAUUUUGGACAAUGGGGGAAACCCUGAUCCAGCCAUGCCGCGUGAGUGAAGAAGGCCUUCGGGUUGUAAAGCUCUUUCGGCCGGGAAGAAAUCGCACAGGCUAAUACCCUGUGUGGAUGACGGUACCGGCAUAAGAAGCACCGGCUAACUACGUGCCAGCCGCCGCGGUAA
rnacentral:rRNA from 1 species